rnacentral:lncRNA from 1 species
UGGAAGCAAAUCUGAAGAAUAAACUCGAUCCAUCUCCUCGUCAACAAAGGAAACACGAAUGAAGUUAUCAAUAUCAUCUGGAUAAUUGCGUAGUACACGAUUUGAGACAUUGACCUCAGGACCAGAAGAAAAUACACGACAUGGUGUAAUUUGGACCCUGCGUACAUAUACCAACCCAGAAUCUAAGGAUAUGACAGAUGACUGUGGACGUCUCUUUGACGUGAGGUACUUCCUGUACUGCUCAUUAAGCCACUCUGAAGGUUUAUAGCAGGUCUCUUUCAAAUUAUAUAAUUUCUCUAGGGCAUACUCUAUACAUGCACGAUCAAAUCUGUGCGGAUCAACCAUCUUAUAAAAUAUAACAUCAAGUGUUGGCCCUGAAAGAUACCCAAGCUGAAGCAGAGAAUGAACUUUAAACAAGAUAUCAUAUGGCACAUACACAUUGACACCUCGAGGAGGACAAACCAUGGGACCCAGACUCGGGUUGCAAGAAUAAGGGGGACCAACCUCCAAGACAAGGUUACCUUCAAUCUCUUCAUACCCAGGAAAGUUUUCUCGAAAAUCUGGAAGUUGGAGACUAUGAGGAAGCUCCAAGCUUAAUGCAAAAGACUGCCCAAUAGCACGUGAUGGAGUGAAAUCAGUAGUCCUGACCCAUUGAUCAUCAGAGUCCAUGAAAUAGGUCAUACCAAGAUCUUCAUAUGCUUGUCCUGAAGAGCGUAUGACUUUCUUAGAAAUCCGAGGUGCUCCGUACAUCUGAUAAUUGGAGACAAAUCAUCAAACUUUUCAAGAUUACUAAUUCAUAAAAGAGAACAUUUAAUUUUUCGCCAACUGCAGUAGCAUGCUUUGACGAUGUUAAUAAAAAUAUUCCAUUCAUACUAUAUUCUCAGAAUUUUAUCCACUUCCCUCAACACCUCAAAUUGUAGAAACUACAAACUUUUAAAUUCCAUCAAACGAAGAAAAUUGAUUUUUGCUCAAAUCCAGACAAGGAUUACCAUGUUAACCCUUAAAGUGAACAACCCUCAAUUCUCUAGACUGGUGAUUUGACGCUCACCAAUUUGCUAGAAAUGGGAAAGCAGAAAAAGGUCACAUAUAUUUAGAAGCAAAUGCACCAUGUAGAUGAUAUAAAAUUAUUCAAUCGUAAACAGAACAAGGAUUAGGAGAAGACAAUCAUUUGAAUUUAACUGCUGAUUAAAAAUAGGUGAGGAACCUGAAUCAGAAGAUGCUUAGCAGCACAACCGCGUGGACGAUGCAACUCAAUCUGCCAGAUGUUUUCAUAGGAAAGUUCGAUCAUAUACUCCAGAGCGUCAUAUUUCAGACGACAAACUAGUUUCCGCAAUCCAAUCCCAAAAUCCACUGAAACAUUGUUCAUAUUCCAGAAACUAAAUAGCUUAUUUGUUGCGAUCUUGCAGCCAAAAUCCAGCUUUAUGUUUUCAAAGGUAUGCAAAGAGCCUCUUGGCUUUGGUACAAUAUCCUGAUCCAGCUUCCAAGAAUUCAGAUAGGAAGCGCCAUAGUACAAGUUUCUAGCACUGGCCAUGUAGUGAAUAAGAUCAGCAUUUUUGGUGGUGUCAAACUGAACAGUAGCAUAAUAUCUUCUCCCAUCUUUGGCUUUUCUUAAUCUCACAGCAUAGACAGAUCCUUUUCCUGUUUCUUUCUCCAGCAACCGCACAACUGCUUCUGCAGUCACACCGGAAGUGAAUCCAUGCAACCUUAUCGUCCUACUCAUCUCUUAUCAUGUGAAUAUGUUCACUGUAUUUACGCUGACAAAGAAUCCAUAUGAGUAAAAUGUACUUGUAUGGUUUUAUUGAAAUUAUGAAAUUAAGGGCUCGUUUGGGAGAGCUUUUUAAAUGACUAAAAGCGCAUUUGGGGAAAAUGUUUUUGGGUUCCAAAAGCACUUAAACUGCUUCCUACGAGUAGUGGUGCUUCUUGUAGGAAGCACUUCAAGUGCUCUUCCACCAGUUAUGUGCUUGUUUUAGGAAGCAGUACUUCAAGUGUUUUUCCAAAAUUCACCCGCAUUUUUACUAAAGGUUGGUUCCAAAAAUAUUUUUUCACAAAACGCUUUCAGCUAUUUUAAGACAAUAGCAGUUCCAACCGAAAACCAGAAAGUCUCAAUGAAUCCAAGAAAAUACAACAACAACAAAGCCUUUUCCCACUAAGUGGGGUCGGCUAUGUGAAUCCUAGAACGCCAUUGCGCUCGGUUUUGUGUCAUGUCCUCCGUUAGAUCCAAGUACUCUAAGUCUUUUCUUAGGGUCUCUUCCAAAGUUUUCCUAGGUCUUCCUCUAACCAAGAAAAUAAAUUGAAAUUAUUAAGCUAAGAACAAUUAUGAACCUCAUAAACCAAAGCCACUCAAAUGCAAAACAUGCAACAACCUAACAAGUAUAUGAUUAUUUUUAGGGGAUCAACAAUCAGAAAGAACACGAUGAUAAUUCUGCUCUACAAAAAAAUAAAAGCAAAACAACCAAAAAGGAGAGGCCUUUUUUUUUAUGCAAUUGCAGUUGAGAGAAAAUGUGCUUCUUACGAGAAGUUUAAGUGUUUUUCAUGAUUCACUUGCAUUUUUAUUAUAGAUUAGUCCCAAAAACAUUUUUUCACAAAAAAAAAAAAAACGCUCUCAGCUAUUUUAAAAGCAGUUCCAAACGAUCCCUAAGAGAAGCAGAAAGUCUGGAUGUAUCCAAGAAAAGUUAAGGUAAGAACAAAUAUGAACCUCAUAACCCAAAGCCACCCAAAAGCAAAACAUGUAACAACCUAGCAAGUAUAUGAUUAUUUUUUAGAGGAUCAGAUCAACAAUCAGAAAGAACAAGAUGAUAAUUCUGCUAUACAAAAAAGAUGCAAAACAACCAAACAAAGAGAGGCCUUUUGUUAUGCAAUUGCAGUUGAGAGCAAAAGCACAGAUUUUUUCACUGAACAAAACUAAGCACAAAAAUACCCAAUCCAUCCAAAAUUAUAAAAAAUUCAGAACGAAAAAAAACUGGACAAAUACCCCAAUGAAUCUCCCAAUGAUGCAGGAAGAGUAAAGGACACAGAUUUAUCAGAGGGAGAAACCCAAAGAGGAAAUUACACAGGCAAAAAUACCAUCUGCAUAAAAACUUGAUCAAACACAACUAAUCAAUCACACACCAACAAAAACUACAGAGAAAAAACAGAAACUGCAGAGACAAUUAGGGUGCGUUUGGUACGCAGACGGGACGGGACGGAAUAGGACGGAACGGGACGGGACGGAACGGAACGAAGGUGUAAUUUUUUGAAAAAUACAUGGGGUAUAUUUGUCUUAAAAUGGUAAAACAAUGUGUUCCACAGACGUGGAACAAACCCGUUCCAGGGGGAAGUGGGACGCAAAANUUCGAUGGACUCAAGUACAUAACGGUUAUAUGCAUGUUAACUGGAAGAUGUGAUGAUAUUGAUUUUUUCAAUCGAAAUCAGUGUUCUUGAUUUUUACAUUAUAUAAUCUACUGCAAACACAUAAAGACACAGAAUGGAUAUUUUGAACUAAAUUCACGAACUCAUGAUGCAUUACACAUUCUUACCUUGGUCCUUUUUGGGGAAAAACAACACAAUCAACCAUAUGGUACAACUCUGGCACAUCCACAGCCUUUAAAACACGUACAUCGCCAGGGUGCAAACAAGGGUUCUUAGCAACAGCUACCUUCCCCACAAUAAUGAAUCGCUGGUUUGAUGCACUUACAGUAUGCCUGUUACCAGAGAAUUGCACAAACACCUCACCAUAUUCCAAUGUUCUGGUUUCAUCUAGACAUCCCAUCAUUGCUCGUCCAUCUGGAAUAAAGAUUCUUGUUUUCGUCCGCAACUCUAGCAACUUUGAUGCCCGAAAUGUUUGCAGCAUCAUUGAAAUGAAGGGUUCAACAUCAGGUUUAUAACCACAUAUAAGCAAUUCCUUCAAGCAGUUGGUAGUCUCCCCUGCAGACAUCAAAUCCAGAGCCUCUUGUGCUUUUAGUGGGUCAGUCAAUAUAGCAUUCAAUUGUUGUACAGCUGCCUUUUGUUUUUUCAUGAAAGCAGGAUCUGGAACCCCAAGGGUGGAUAAAAGACUUAUCAACUGGCGGUUCAGAAAACAAGGUUGAAUCUUGCUACAUGCUAAAACGUCUAACUUUGUGUUUUCUGAUUCAUACUUGGACAUGCUCCUCCUCAAUGAUAAUUUCAUUGAUGAAGUUGGAUCAACGGCCACCACACCUUUGUACCCACCAUAUCGAAUCUGAAAGGCAGAUGGAGUCCCAUUAAAGCCACAUUUUGAGGCCACUUUCUUAGCAAAAUCAGCAGAUAUUUUCCCAAUCCCAUCGGAGAAGACAUAUUUAUUGUUUUCUACAUCGGGAAUAACUUCCAUUUCAUGUUUUCCAACAUUUAAAGUUUCAGUGGACGAACCAAAGGAUUGACCUAAUCUGGCAGCAUAUUUUGCUACAUUUUUUAUACGACGAAAAUCCCCCAUCCACUCUCUUAUAUUGGCUGCAGUAAGUCCCCGUCUUGAAGCAAACAUCCACAUAGAAUUCUCUCGCAAUUGACUUGAUGAGAAUGCGAGAAACUCGAAUUUCUUUUCACCAAUUACUAUGCCGUUUCUGAGAAUAAAAAGAAUCCGCUUGUAGAUGUCGGUUUUCCCAUCCUCAUAGGCAGCAGAAGUACGUGGAAGCAAAUCUGAAGAAUAAACUCGAUCCAUCUCCUCGUCAACAAAGGAAACACGAAUGAAGUUAUCAAUAUCAUCUGGAUAAUUGCGUAGUACACGAUUUGAGACAUUGACCUCAGGACCAGAAGAAAAUACACGACAUGGUGUAAUUUGGACCCUGCGUACAUAUACCAACCCAGAAUCUAAGGAUAUGACAGAUGACUGUGGACGUCUCUUUGACGUGAGGUACUUCCUGUACUGCUCAUUAAGCCACUCUGAAGGUUUAUAGCAGGUCUCUUUCAAAUUAUAUAAUUUCUCUAGGGCAUACUCUAUACAUGCACGAUCAAAUCUGUGCGGAUCAACCAUCUUAUAAAAUAUAACAUCAAGUGUUGGCCCUGAAAGAUACCCAAGCUGAAGCAGAGAAUGAACUUUAAACAAGAU